AAAAAAAAAAAGAAAAACCAAAAAAAAAAAGAGGGAUGUAACACGAGGACUUUUUUGGGAGGUCACCCAUCCUAGUACUACUCUCGCCCAAGCACGCUUAACUGCGGAGUUCUGAUGGGAUCCAGUUCAUUAGUGCUGGUAUGAUCGCAUGUGUUACUAUAUGCAAUGUAAUCGUAUCUAUUCUUUUUUAAUGACUUUAUGAUCCAUUUGCUGUGAGUCCCACCAGCUAUGUAGGAAUACCCUAUCUUCUCUAUAAGAGCUUUGAUACAUGCAAAAUAUUGGAAAACAAUGUCCGAACAUAUAGUUUUCCCCCCGUAAUAUAGCAAAGAUCACGAAAAGGCCCGAAAAGGUACAUUUAGUUCAAAAUUUGGAGUAGAAGAAAAAACAAUAGAAGAAUUCCAUUUCCCUUCCUCAGUCAUCGGAGAGCUCUCUUUGGGCUUUCCAAAAAGGUAUCACAUGCCAAGUUUGGCCUCACGGUCUAAAAGUUAUAGAGUCAUACAUUUUUAACAAUACAAAAUAGAGAAAAACCGAAAAAAAAGAGGGAUGCAACACGAGGACUUUCCGGGAGGUAAUCCAUCCUAGUACUACUCUCGCCCAAGCACCCUUAACUGCGGAGUUCUGAUGGGAUCCGAUGCAUUAGUGCUGGUAUGAUCGCAUGUGUUACUACAUGCAAUGUAAUCGUAUCUAUUCUUUUUUAAAGACUUUAUGAUCCAUUUGCCGUGGGUCCCACCAGCUAUGUAGGAUUAGCCUAUCUUGUUUAUAAGAGCUUUGAUACAUGCAAAAUAUUGGAAACCAAUGUCCAAACAUAUAAUUUUCACCCCGUAAUAUAGCAAAGAUCACGAAAAGUCCCGAAAAAGUACAUUUAGGUCAAAAUUUGGAAUAGAAAAAAAAAAAAUA
rnacentral:sRNA from 1 species